GGUAAGAUGGCUGAGAGUAGGCAGCGGGUUGUAGCCCCGAGUACAGAGGUUUAGCCCUCUUCUUAUCA
rnacentral:tRNA from 1 species